CCUGCCUCCAUGUCUGGUUAUAACAUUUGUAAACUAAUGCUAUUCCCUAUUAAAACUUAUUGAUGCUUGACACAUAUUUAAUAGGCGCUCCUGCGUCUCCUAAAAAUGGAUCCGCGCGUGCAUUACUGACUUGAUGGGUUAAAGUCCUACCAAGACAAUGAUGCUUCGCCUAGUUGAUAGACUGUCGCCCACUUGGGACUGUAUACACGUCCCUAACUCCUACGGGUAGCGCUGCUGUAGGGAAUCUUCCACAAUGGGCGAAAUCCUGAUUGAGCAACUCCGCGUGUGUGAUGAAGGCUUUCGGGUCAUAAAUCACUGUUGUAUGGGAAGAACAGCUAUAUUAUGAAAUGAUUUAUAGUUUAGACGGUACCAUACCAUAAAGGCACGGCUAAAUACGUGCCAGCUGCCGCGAAAUACAUUUGUCCCGAGCGUUAUCCGGAUUUAUUGCUGCGUAAAGCGAGCGCAGACGGUUUAUUAAGUCUGAUGUGAAAGCCCGGAGCUCAACUCCGGAAUGUCAUUGUAAACUGGUUAUCCUGAGUGCAUUAAAUGUCAGUGAAACUCCAUGUGUAUCGGUGUAAUGCGUAUAUAUAUGGAAGAACACCCAUGGCUAAGGCGGCUUACUGGACUGCUACUGUCCAUUUAUGCUCUUAAGUGUUGGGUAUCAAACUUGAUUAGAUACCCCUGGUUAAUCCACCACUCUAAACAAAUGAUCUCAAUGUGUUUAUUGAGGUUUCCCUCCUCUUAUUUGCCGAAUCUAAACCCUUUAAAUGUUCCUCCCGGGGCAAUUCCCAACCGCCUAUGUUGAAACUUCUAAGGAAUUUGUAACGGGAACCCCCCCCACCCAUUGGAGCUUUUGUUUUUAUUUCAAUCCCAACACCUAAGAACCCUCCCCAGGUCCUUGUACUCCCUUUGAAUCCUUUUAAAAUAUACAUGGUUUUCCCUUCAGAAAACAAAAUGACCUGUGUUGCCUGGUCCCUCCUCAGCCCCUGGUCCUGAAAUUUUUGUCUUAAAUCCC
rnacentral:rRNA from 1 species